AGCUUGCUCUGCUGGAUCAGUGGCGAACGGGUGAGUAACACGUGAGCAAUCUGCCCCUGACUCUGGGAUAAGCGCUGGAAACGGCGUCUAAUACCGGAUACGAGCUGCGAAGGCAUCUUCAGCAGCUGGAAAGAACUUCGGUCAGGGAUGAGCUCGCGGCCUAUCAGCUAGUUGGUGAGGUAACGGCUCACCAAGGCGUCGACGGGUAGCCGGCCUGAGAGGGUGACCGGCCACACUGGGACUGAGACACGGCCCAGACUCCUACGGGAGGCAGCAGUGGGGAAUAUUGCACAAUGGGCGAAAGCCUGAUGCAGCAACGCCGCGUGAGGGACGACGGCCUUCGGGUUGUAAACCUCUUUUAGCAGGGAAGAAGCGAAAGUGACGGUACCUGCAGAAAAAGCGCCGGCUAACUACGUGCCAGCAGCCGCGGUAAUACGUAGGGCGCAAGCGUUAUCCGGAAUUAUUGGGCGUAAAGAGCUCGUAGGCGGUUUGUCGCGUCUGCUGUGAAAACCCGAGGCUCAACCUCGGGCCUGCAGUGGGUACGGGCAGACUAGAGUGCGGUAGGGGAGAUUGGAAUUCCUGGUGUAGCGGUGGAAUGCGCAGAUAUCAGGAGGAACACCGAUGGCGAAGGCAGAUCUCUGGGCCGUAACUGACGCUGAGGAGCGAAAGGGUGGGGAGCAAACAGGCUUAGAUACCCUGG
rnacentral:rRNA from 1 species